rnacentral:rRNA from 1 species
GACGAACGCUGGCGGCGUGCUUAACACAUGCAAGUCGAGCGGAGAUAUAUGGAAGGUUUACCUGAAAUAUAUCUUAGCGGCGGACGGGUGAGUAACGCGUGGGUAACCUGCCUUGUACAGGGGGAUAACACAGGGAAACUUGUGCUAAUACCGCAUAACACAGUUGGUUGGCAUCAAUUGACUGUCAAAGGAGGAAUCCGGUAUAAGAUGGACCCGCGUCCGAUUAGCUAGUUGGCGGUGUAACGGACCACCAAGGCGACGAUCGGUAGCCGAACUGAGAGGUUGAUCGGCCACAUUGGGACUGAGACACGGCCCAGACUCCUACGGGAGGCAGCAGUGGGGAAUAUUGCGCAAUGGGGGAAACCCUGACGCAGCAACGCCGCGUGAAGGAAGAAGGUUUUCGGAUCGUAAACUUCUUUGAUGAGGGAAGAAUAAUGACGGUACCUCAAAACAAGCCACGGCUAACUACGUG